GUGCCAGCAGCCGCGGUAAUACGGAGGAUCCGAGCGUUAUCCGGAUUUACUGGGUUUAAAGGGUGCGUAGGCGGGCGCCUAAGUCGGCGGUGAAAGGCAGCGGCUCAACCGUUGAGCUGCCGUUGAUACUGGGCGCCUUGGAUUCGGUCGAGGCCGGCGGAAUGCGCGGUGUAGCGGUGAAAUGCUUAGAUAUCGCGCGGAACGCCGAUUGCGAAGGCAGCUGGCCGGGCCGAGAUUGACGCUGAGGCAC
rnacentral:rRNA from 1 species